rnacentral:rRNA from 1 species
AUACGGAGGGUGCAAGCGUUGUUCGGAACCACUGGGCGUAAAGGGCGUGCAGGCGGUUUGUUUAGUCAGAUGUGAAAGCCCACGGCUCAACCGUGGAAGUGCAUUUGAAACUGGCAGACUUGAGUAUCAGAGGGGGAAGUGGAAUUCCCGGUGUAGAGGUGAAAUUCGUAGAUAUCGGGAGGAAUACCGGUGGCGAAGGCGACUUCCUGGCUGAAUACUGACGCUGAGGCGCGAAGGCGUGGGGAGCAAACAGGAUUAGAUACCCCGGUAGUCC